rnacentral:rRNA from 1 species
AACGAACGCUGGCGGCAUGCCUAACACAUGCAAGUCGAACGAGACCUUCGGGUCUAGUGGCGCACGGGUGCGUAACGCGUGGUAACCUGCCCUUAGGUUCGGAAUAACUUCCCGAAAGGGGUGCUAAUACCGGCUAAUGUCUUCGGACCAAAGAUUUAUCGCCUUUGGAUGGGCCCGCGUUGGAUUAGCUAGUUGGUAGGGUAAAAGCCUACCAAGGCGACGAUCCAUAGCUGGUCUGAGAGGAUGAUCAGCCACACUGGGACUGAGACACGGCCCAGACUCCUACGGGAGGCAGCAGUGGGGAAUAUUGGACAAUGGGCGAAAGCCUGAUCCAGCAAUGCCGCGUGAGUGAUGAAGGCCUUAGGGUUGUAAAGCUCUUUUACCCGGGAUGAUAAUGACAGUACCGGGAGAAUAAGCUCCGGCUAACUCCGUG